AAAAAAAAAAAAAAAAGCCUGUGGAAGACUCAGCAGAACCCAGGAAGCGCAGAAUUGGGAGAAAAGUCUUUGGCUGGGGCUGUUUCAAGUCUCUGGUUCAAUGGGCUGCUCGAAGCCAGGACUGGGUAAUUCUUUCCAGACGUCUUGACUUCUCCUUCCUCGCCGUUGUUGCCUUUCUGCCUCCUCCAACUUAAGGGGGUCUUAACAAGAUCUUCUGAGGGGUGGACUUCUUUGGAACUCGACAGGACCUUGAAGACUGGGUUCUUAGUCCUUAUCACAUAUAUGGGCUAUAAUGAAAAAACACAUUUGUUGUUUCUCGCCUCUUGUAAUUCAAGACCCAUAAGACAAAAGUAAAAUGUUCUCUGACUGCAAAUGGAUGUAAAAACUGAUUAUACAGCUACACAUUUCUGUCAUCCUCCAAUCUCUACCCCAAAGAAAG
rnacentral:lncRNA from 1 species